UCCUCUACCAAGUCCUUAUCAUUUCCUUUAAUUUUAAGAAUCCAAAACACCUUCUAAAUAAGAGAAAAUACAUCAAAUUUCCCCUGAAAUUGGCACGAGAAUUCGCUUUAGUACUUAAACUACACGGAUGUUUAUAUAACCCCCUUAACAUGUUUGAUGUGAAUUAUUUUCAACCUUUCGAGCUUCAGCCUCCUGUGCGUGUUGAUACAGCUUUGUAGGGCGUGUAAUUCACCUUUUAGCAUUUUUUAAAAAUAAAACUUGACCCUCCAACGGGUAAUAUCCGACCCAUUACAUAUUUGAAUGUAAAUCUUCUCUUUUGUAGAAUCCUAAUUUUCUCUUCUCCUCACCAACCCAAUCAUCCAAAAAUGGUGACCUAAUUCAUGCUUUUUUUUCUUUAUUUUUCUCAAAUCUUAGCUCUUCAAACCUCAAAUCUUAGCUCUUCAAACCUAAAAGUUGAAUCUUUGAAGGAAUAAUUGUUCUUCAAAAUUUAAGGAUCGUUCAGGUGAUUAUGUGGUUGAUGAUCUACUCUGAUAAGGUUCUCCGAGUGACGUUUCAGUAUUGAGGACUGAAAGCGCUUAAUAGCUUAUUUUGAAGUCUCUUUAGUUGCUUACAUUCAGUCGGUCUGACUUACUGAGUACAUCUGGAUUGCGGCUGAUCCUCGUUGCGGCUGGUUAGAUCCAUCAUAUUUCUUUCUUUCGCGGUUGUGUGUGAUCUUAAAUUAAUUUGAUUUACUUGUACUUCAAAUAUUUCUUUAUUCCUAUCAAAAAUACAACUAUCUAAGAUGUUUCUUAAGAAAAUAA